rnacentral:rRNA from 1 species
AACGAACGCUGGCGGCAUGCCUAACACAUGCAAGUCGAACGAGACCUUCGGGUCUAGUGGCGCACGGGUGCGUAACGCGUGGUAACCUGCCCUUAGGUUCGGAAUAACUCCCCGAAAGGGGUGCUAAUACCGGAUAAUGUCUUCGGACCAAAGAUUUAUCGCCCUUGGAUGGGCCCGCGUUGGAUUAGCUAGUUGGUAGGGUAAAAGCCUACCAAGGCGACGAUCCAUAGCUGGUCUGAGAGGAUGAUCAGCCACACUGGGACUGAGACACGGCCCAGACUCCUACGGGAGGCAGCAGUGGGGAAUAUUGGACAAUGGGCGAAAGCCUGAUCCAGCAAUGCCGCGUGAGUGAUGAAGGCCUUAGGGUUGUAAAACUCUUUUACCCGGGAUGAUAAUGACAGUACCGGGAGAAUAAGCUCCGGCUAACUCCGUG